rnacentral:snoRNA from 1 species
AUCCUCUUUUGGUUCAUGAGUUUAAUGAUUAGGUAUUCGCACACUGUGUCAUAUGUAUGACUCCCUCACAUCUCGUUAUGAAGUCAGUUCAUUAACCUUCUGAUG